rnacentral:rRNA from 1 species
AUACGGAGGGUGCAAGCGUUACUCGGAAUCACUGGGCGUAAAGCGCGGGCAGGCGGCUAUUUAAGUUGGAUGUGAGAGCCUACGGCUCAACCGUAGAACUGCAUCCAAAACUAUUUAGCUAGAGUGUGGGAGAGGAAGAUGGAAUUAGUUGUGUAGGGGUAAAAUCCGUAGAGAUAACUAGGAAUACCAAAAGCGAAGGCAAUCUUCAGGAACACUACUGACGCUGAGGCGCGAAAGCGUGGGGAGCAAACAGGAUUAGAAACCCUAGUAGUCC